AGCCAUGCAUGUCUCAGUACAAGCAUCCUUGUACCGUGAAACUGCGAAUGGCUCAUUACAACAGUUAUAGUUUAUUUGAUCGUGCGGAGCUACGUGGAUAACCGUAGGAAUUCUAGAGCUAAUACAUGCACCGUCGCCGAAGAUCUUUGGUUAGACUUCGGCGGGAUUUAUUAGAUCAAAAACCAAUCGCUUCUUUCGUUUUUUUCGAGUAGAGGCGUGGUGGGAUGAAUCAUAAUAACUUAACCGAAUCGUAUGGCCAACAUUAGGCCGACGAUAAAUCAUUCAAAUUUCUGCCCUAUCAACUUUCGAUGGUAGGGUAGUGGCCUACCAUGGUGUUGACGGGUGACGGAGAAUUAGGGUUCGAUUCCGGAGAGGGAGCCUGAGAAACGGCUACCACAUCCAAGGAAGGCAGCAGGCGCGCAAAUUACCCAAUCCUGAUUCAGGGAGGUAGCGACAAGAAAUAACGAUAGUGGGCUCGUUCGAGUCCGCGCAUCGGAAUGAGGAUAAUUUACACCCCUUCUCGAGGAUCCAUUGGAGGGCAAGCCUGAUGCCAGCAGCCGCGGUAAUUCCAGCUCCAAUAGCGUAUACUAAAGUUGUUGCAGUUAAAAAGCUCGUAGUCGAAUGAAGGUUUCUUGUAUAGCGCGGACGUCUAGGUGUAACUUAGAUUAGUUUGCGCACAAGAACCUCCCUUGUGUGUCUCAGAGGAGCAAAUAUUUAUUUAUUUUGAUCCAUUUGCGACACACACAUUACUGUGAACAAAAUAGAGUGUUCAUGGCAGGUCAAUUUAGGCUUGAAUACCUCAGCAUGGAAUA
rnacentral:rRNA from 1 species